rnacentral:rRNA from 1 species
UCCACGCCCUAAACGAUGUCAACUAGCUGUUGGGGCCUUCGGGCCUUAGUAGCGCAGCUAACGCGUGAAGUUGACCGCCUGGGGAGUACGGUCGCAAGAUUAAAACUCAAAGGAAUUGACGGGGACCCGCACAAGCGGUGGAUGAUGUGGAUUAAUUCGAUGCAACGCGAAAAACCUUACCUACCCUUGACAUGUCUGGAAUCCCGAAGAGAUUUGGGAG